GUAAAAUAUGCUUGGGAUCAGGGCUGUCUGCUUUCAAGUGGAUUGGUUUCAGUUGUAAAGUUUGUUCUGGUGUAUGGCAUAAGGAUUGUCUCCAGCAAGCAGUGCCUGAGGAUAAACAUAAUUUCAGCUCAGAAGAUAAUCAAUCAGAUGAGGACAUGCAUGAAGAUGACAAGCAUAAAGAUGAUGAUUAUGUACCUGACACUGACUCGGAAUCUGAUUUGGAUAGUACUGUGGUUGGCUCUAGUGUGUGUGCCUUUACCCAGGAUGUGCAACUUCUUCACACUCACCUGGAAAAGACUUCAGAGUCUGCUUUUGACAAAUUAAAGAAAACAGUAUCUUCCCAAAGUUAUGCUGACCUUGCAAAAUCCACUCUUGCUCAGAUUAUAAUUUUUAAUCGAAGGCGUGCUGGGGAGGUGUCCAAAAUGCACUUGAAAAACUUCAUUGAAAGAGACAAAAGCCCCCUUCAUGCUGAUGUAUCCUUGGGAUUAACCAAGUUUGAAAAUAAGCUCUGUGAG